rnacentral:rRNA from 1 species
CAGCAGCCGCGGUAAUACGUAGGGUGCGAGCGUUAAUCGGAAUUACUGGGCGUAAAGCGUGCGCAGGCGGUUAUAUAAGACAGAUGUGAAAUCCCCGGGCUCAACCUGGGACCUGCAUUUGUGACUGUAUAGCUAGAGUACGGUAGAGGGGGAUGGAAUUCCGCGUGUAGCAGUGAAAUGCGUAGAUAUGCGGAGGAACACCGAUGGCGAAGGCAAUCCCCUGGACCUGUACUGACGCUCAUGCACGAAAGUGUGGGGAGCAAACAGGAUUAGAUACCCCUGUAGUCCCUGUCUCUUAUAC